AUAUCUUAAACAAUAUUAUGCGAGUAUAAUAUUAUCCGAAGAAUCAACCGAGUACGAAAAAACAAUUAAAGCUCAGUGUUAUAUUAUGAUUUUAUUUGAUAAUUUUUUAUUUCCAGAAAAUACAGGUAAUUCAGUAAAUUUUAUGUAUUUACCGUUGUUACGCAACAUUAAUAAGGUAAGCACAUAUAGUCGGGGUUCAGCUGUGUUGGCCCAUCUAUAUAGUGCAAUGUGUAAAAAUGGCACAAAAAAAAUACUUGUACGUUUUUUUCAUGUACGUAUUUGCUACAAGCAUGAGGUUGGUCAAGAAUGCCGUCACUCGCCCCGAUAAACGAGAACCCAUUCAUGUUCCCGUUUGCAACAAAGUGGUCAGUGCGGGGGAUGAACUACAAUAGGUGUCCGAAACACGUUAUAGUAGUCUAUCGCAAUCUAUUGGACCACAUUGGACCAGACGAUUUUAUCUGGAGACCAUAUAUGGGUCUUGAUCAUCAAGUGAACCAUGACGAUGUUGCAGUUUAGACAACAAAGAUACCAAUUAUCCGGUUCACUACUGUGGAAAUGUACCAGAGUGAUCGAGUAAAACUACAGUUCGGCAUGCAACAACAGAUUCCAGAACCUCCAACGUUUUUGGGAGAUUGGCAUAAAAAAAGAGUUGAUGCCCAAUGGGAUUAUUCCGACUAGAGAGACUUUGCAAAAGAGAUGUGUCGUCAAUAGAGGAAUCAACGACAACACAUCUUAAACGAACCAGUCAUGCAUGGUGCAAGACCAACUCAACAAUAUUUGGCAUGGUUUAGGUUGGUGACAACACAAUAAUUUGUGUUUGAGCCGCGGUAUUUGAUAGAUCCACGCUAACUAGCUUCGUCAUCAUACGCCUAACAACAAGUCCCCGUCCAACACCAAUGUCAAACCACCCAAACCUAACAACCAACCUCACACCACCAAUCUACCACAUACACCCCACAAUCAAACACCCAACUUCGCAACUCAUUCAUGUCAUCCACCCAACAACCAAAUACCCAACGUCGCAAUCCAUUCAUGCCACCUACACAACCAUAAAACCAAGAAUCAAACCCUAUCCACCAACAACCAUACGCUUCAACCACAACCGUCUAUAGCCCAGAUGAUUCAUAUGGGUCACUUCAUCGUAUCCCCCCCAUCAAUGACCACUCAAACAUCCCAUCACCAAAACACACAACCAUUGUUUAACUAUAGUACACCCCAAGAACCAUUGCUUCAUUUCCAAAACCUUCACACCAACCAUUACGGAAGCGCCAUUGGCCAGAUCGCCCCCAGAUAUUGGGAACAAAUGAUGACACAUCUAGCAAAUACCGCUGGAACUUCUGCCAGACCUUCACACCAACCAUCAUUCAAUCAGGUCAGCACGCAAAAACCCCAAACACCUCACGAAAAUCGUGGGGGACCUCGAAGACAAACUAACGCACCUGUAUGUGGAACAGGGGGACGUUUCGAUCGAGCCGGUCAUUAAA